UACGAAGGGGGGCUAGCGUUACUCGGAUUGACUGGGCGUAAAGGGCGCGUAGGCGGUUUGUACAGUCAGACGUGAAAUUCCUGGGCUCAACCUGGGGGCUGCGUUUGAUACGUGCGGACUUGAGUUCGGAAGAGGGUCGUGGAAUUCCCAGUGUAGAGGUGAAAUUCGUAGAUAUUGGGAAGAGCACCGGUGGCGAAGGCGGCUCACUGGCUCAUUACUGACGCUCAGGCGCGAUAGCGUGGGGAUCAAACAGG
rnacentral:rRNA from 1 species